rnacentral:rRNA from 1 species
GGUUAAGUCCCGCAACGAGCGCAACCCUUGUCCUUGGUUGCCAGCAUUAAGUUGGGCACUUUAAGGAGACUGCCGGUGUCAAACCGGAGGAAGGUGGGGAUGACGUCAAGUCCUCAUGGCCCUUAUGUCCAGGGCUACACACGUGNUACAAUGGUCGAUACAAAGGGUCGCGAAACCGCGAGGUGGAGCUAAUCUCAAAAAGUCGGCCUCAGUUCGGAUUGGAGUCUGCAACUCGACUCCAUGAAGUCGGAAUCGCUAGUAAUCGUGGAUCAGCAUGCCACGGUGAAUACGUUCCCGGGCCUUGUACACACCGCCCGUCACACCAUGGGAGUUGUUCGGACCCGAAGUCGGUGAGCUAACCUGCAAGGGAGGCAGCCGCCCACGGAUCGGAUAGCGACUGGGGUG